rnacentral:lncRNA from 1 species
GGUUUUCCGGUGAAGCAACUGGCGCCCUCAGCAGAAUGAUAUGAUAGGGUUAGCGCCUAAAAGAAUUCGUUAUGACCACCGAGCUUCACUCUUGAUUCCACAGAUGAAUUGAGCAUCUCGGGUGGACAAAUAGUGCAUGUGGUUUCUUGGCCAUUGCUCACUAUAGCACUUUCUGGAAUAAUGGGAGUAGUUCCACUAAAGAUUCUGCUCGCUUAACAAAUGGGUACUUGGAUACAAAUCUACAAUCAUAGAUUAUUUAGUUGAUGCUAUUCAAUUAUGGCAUGGAUAAUAAUAGAGGUUCUUAAUGCUACUUAUAGUUUCUAUGCAAAGCUAAGGUCAGUUAUCGUUGAUGCUAAGAGGACAAAACUA